UAUAUAACAUAGAUUGAAACUUAAGUCCAAAGGUUACAAACCAUAAGUAUUUAGUACAUAAAAGGUUCGGAACUUUAUAUUACAUAUACCAUAAGUCACACAACAAGUUUUACUUGCCCAAGGUCACACAUCAGAUUCAUCAUCAUCACUCUCCUCCACAAGAGUGAAGUAACAACGACCAUCAAAAGGUUGAUCAAAAGGUUCACCUGCAACAUGGGUUAAUAAACCCUGAGUACAAAAG
rnacentral:lncRNA from 1 species